AUUCUCAUCUUUUCUUUUCCAUGCCUAUGUUUUCACUUUUCACCAAUACCAGUAGACUAAAUGUCCUUUUCGCCCAACAUUUUUUCGUAUGAAGACAUGACUAAUUGCUUGAAUCAAGAUAACCUUCAUAUAGUUACGUGUCAACGAUGAAUAAAAUGGUUGAUCUAUAGUUCAUAAUGGUAUGUCAAUAAUUUUUCCCUUAUCUUUUGUUGUAUCUACAUGUUUCUUUUUUUUUUUUUUUCAGCGUUUCUUAUGCUUGUGUACUUCUUCCUCUUCACAAAAUUCUCAUCUUUAAUCACAGGAGAAACAAAUAGACAUAUGGAUAAUAACAAUGCCUACGAAAGUGGACUGAUGAAUUGGACUACAAAGAGACAAAGAAAUAAACAAUUUCAGACGCUCUACCUCUCUUGAAUUUGGGGAUGAAGAUAGAAGUCUUUGAUGCUAAAUAAAGCUGUUGCAAGAAAUAAAGAAUCAACAAAUAAUUUGGGUUUAUCCAAAUAAUUCUUUCGUA